rnacentral:rRNA from 1 species
CAGCAGCCGCGGUAAUACGUAGGUGGCAAGUGUUGUCCGGAAUUAUUGGGCGUAAAGGGCUCGCAGGCGGUUUCUUAAGUCUGAUGUGAAAGCCCCCGGCUCAACCGGGGAGGGUCAUUGGAGACUGGGAAACUUGAGUGCAGAAGAGGAGAGUGGAAUUCCACGUGUAGCGGUGAAAUGCGUAGAGAUGUGGAGGAACACCAGUGGCGAAGGCGACUCUCUGGUCUGUAACUGACGCUGAGGAGCGAAAGCGUGGGGAGCGAACAGGAUUAGAUACCCCCGUAGUCCCUGUCUCUUAUAC